AAAUGUGUGAACUCAUUUUGAACAAUGGCUUCCAACCUCUGCUGAGAUGAAAAUGACAAAAUCACAGUGAUUGGACUGACCACUCAUAUAUAAAGAUUGCAGGUGUCACUUCUGUCAUCACUAUGAACAUCAAAACUGCUCACCAGCGAUUUAAUGGACUUCUCCGAGACAGUAUCCUGAACAUGCAUAUAUCAAAGAAUUCUGAGCAUUUUAUAUUCCAAGGUAGAAAUCUACACGAGUUGACAAUACAUUUGGAAAUGAGAAGCUAUUGUUUCCUCCCAUCUUCAGAGCCAGUUUACAUCGACAAAAGAAAAAAUUAAAGAAAAUUGAGAUUUCCUUUAAUAAAUACAUAUUAUCAACUUUUUCUCAUA